rnacentral:rRNA from 1 species
ACGUAGGAGGCAAGCGUUAUCCGGAGUUACUGGGCGUAAAGGGCGUGCAGGCGGUUGGCUAAGUUCGUUGUGAAAGCGCCCAGGCUUAACCGGGCGAGGACAAUGAAGACUGGUCAGCUAGAGGACGGUAGAGGGGUGUGGAAUUCCACGUGUAGCAGUGAAAUGCGUAGAGAUGUGGAGGAACACCGAUGGCGAAGGCAGCCCCCUGGGACAUGACUGACGCUCAGGUACGAAAGCGUGGGGAGCAAACAG